UGGGGAAUUGUUCGCAAUGGGCGCAAGCCUGCCGACGCAACGCCGCGUGGAGGACGAAGACCUUCGGGCCGUAAACUUCUUUCGAUCGAGACGAAUGGCCUCCGGGUGAACAGUCCGGAGGAAUGACGGUACCGAGAGAAGAAGCCCCGGCUAACUCCGUGCCAGCAGCCGCGGUAAUACGGGGGGGGCAAGCGUUGUUCGGAAUUACUGGGCGUAAAGGGCUCGUAGGUGGCCAACAAAGUCAGACGUGAAAUCCCUCGGCUUAACCAGGAAACAUCGUCUGAUACUGGAUGGCUUGAGUUUGGGAGAGGGAUGCGGAAUUCCAGGUGUAGCGGUGAAAUGCGUAGAUAUCUGGAGGAACACCGGUGGCGAAGGCGGCAUCCAGGACCAACACUGACACUGAGGAGCGAAAGCCAGGGGAGCAAACGGG
rnacentral:rRNA from 1 species